AUGUCUCCACUGCAAAUAUGCCUGCUAGCCCUUGCCUUACCUUUGCUUCUCCUCAUAUUGAGGCUCAUCAGAAGGCAACAGGGAUGGAGGGCCAACCUCCCUCCUGGUCCCUUGAAUUUGCCUAUGAUCGGAAGCUUACACCGCCCCAUCCGUGCGCCACACUUGUCGCUCGUCGUGCUUGCCCGUCAACAUGGCCCCAUCAUUUACGUCCGCCUCUGUGCAGCACAGCAACUGUUCUAUGGGUCCACUGACAUUGCAUUCGCGCCCUAUGGCCUUUAUUGGAGGCAGGUGAGAAAGAUAUGCAUCCCGGAGCUAUUCAGCACAAAGAGGGUGCAAUCCUUCAGAUCCAUGAGAGAACAAGAAGCAGCACAUUUGGUGAGCUCAAUACGUUCAUCAUGCAGGGUGGGCGAAGUCGACCUCACCAAACUUCUAGGCCCUUUCGCUAAUGGCUUACUGUGCCGUGUUGCGUUAGGGAAGAACGACUGCGAAGGUGGGGAGUAUGAGAGGGAGUUCAAGCGGAUGUUAGAAGAGUACCAAGUAUUGUUCGGGGGUUUUAGUUUGGGAGAUUUUUUCCCCUAUUUAGAAGGAUGGUUGAAUUUGAUCACCGGAAUGGCAUCGAGGAUGAAGAAGACUCUGGAGGAUUUUGAUCGAUUUUUUGAUCAAGCGAUCCGGGAUCACCGCAGGAAAUCGAAGGUUCCUGGGGGUGAGAACGAUGUGAAGGAUCAUUUUAUCUCAGCCACAAGAAUCAUACUUCCAGUUGUGGACAUGUUUGCCGCCGGUACAGACACAACAUUCAUAACCCUCGACUGGGGCAUGACAGAGCUCAUUAGGAAUCCAAGGGUAAUGAAGAAAGCCCAAGACCACAUUAGGAGCAAAAUUGGACACAAAGAACAAAUCGAGGAGAGCGAUUUGCAAGAACUAGAUUACUUAAGAGCUGUAGUAAAAGAGAUAUUUCGGUUACACCCAGCUGCCUAGGUGUUGCUUCCUCAUUUAUCCAUGGAAGAUGUGAAGAUAGGUGAGUACAAUAUUCCAGCAAAAACCCGAUUCUUUGUCAAUGUCUGGGCAAUCGGAAGAAAUCCCAAAUCUUGGGAUAACCCUGAAGAGUUUUGCCCUGAGCGAUUUAUGAAUAGUUUGAUUGAUUUUAAGGGCCAAGACUUAGAGUUGUUACCAUUUGGUGUUGGUCGUCGGAGUUGCCCUGCCAUUACAUUUGGAGCAGCCACAGUGGAGCUUGCCCUUGCUAAUCUCCUCUACCACUUCAACUGGGAGCUACCCCCCGGGGUGAGACCAGAAGAAUUCGACUUGACAGAAGUAUUUGGUAUAACAAUGCAUAGGAAAGAACACUUAGUUGUCGUUGCCAAACCAUAUAACUGAUCGAUGAGCAUAACUUCUGUUUUUCAGUUGUGAAGUGCCUAUUGAAGUUUUAUUGAUGGUCAGGGGGUAACAAGUGCAAAUUGUGCGGACCAUACAGCCAUCCAUUUGCUGGGGAAGGAUAAUUAGGAACAGAGUCAUAUUCGUUGGAGCAUGUUAUUAGAGGUUAGGUAAAGGAACAUAGUUCCUUUCAGAUUUCCCGUUGGAUUUCUGUAAACUUUUCAUGCUUGGGUAUCUUGGAAUUCAUGUGUGAUAUAAUUUCAAAUAGCUAUAUGUGCUGUUAUUUAAGUGUACAGUAACUAGCUCCAUGGAAGACUUCAAACUCCAAUAUGUUAUGGCUUUUGUGUAAUUUUUAGACUCCCAUAUAUAAAAGAGCCCCUUUCAAGAUUUCCUUUUUAA